GCCGUGUGUCGCCAUGCUGGGGGCGGCACCGGGCGGCGGGACGGGCACGGGGACGGAGCGUGAGGGCCGUCUCCACGCGCCGGGACUCUGCUCCCCUCAGCAGCCGCCGCCUCACGCACCCCGAAGGCCCCCCCGCCAAGGGGUCGCGGCCGGCUGAGGAAAGCUCCCCUUGUUAUCCCUAAGAGCUGUGCCCGGACAGGGACUGACCCCAAGUGCUGGCCCUGUGAAUUGUUCCCCUGGGGAUAACAGGCUCCGUUUGCUCACCACGGAACAAUUCGAGGCAAAAUAUUGCUUUGUUCUUCACCGGUACGUGAUGCUGAGUGUCGUGUGCCUUGAAUGUGUACAAGCGUGAUUCCUGCCAUCAGUCAUCCGGGCUGGCAGUUCAGUUUGCAAAAAGAGGUACCACCGCUUGGGAUGGAGGAGGAGGUUACCAACACUAACUACUCAUUCCCGCACCAGUUUCCUGGAUGGCUGAGCCACUUUAUUGGCCAUUUUGUACAGGAAGAAAUACGUGGAAAUAAUUUACUUGAAGAAAUGGCAAUUUGUGCUGUGCAUUCCACUACAUCUGCUAUGAAGUAGUACGAUAAGAAAUACACUUUAGUCUAACAGUUCUAAUGGUUCAGAGUGCUAGACCAUGAAUCCCUUCUGCACCUAGAGAGGCAUUUGUCUUUACAAAAAGCUCUAUCUGAACAAUUCAUGACGGUUAAUAAAGAAAGCACUUCAAGUCCUGACACACUGAGUAUUACACAGGUAAAUCAGUCUUCAGAAGCUGAUUGGAGACAAGUUCUUUCACAGCAUACAUCUUUCAUUAGCGGUACUAAUUGCUUGAAUGCUUGACAUCUACCGAAAGAGAUGAGUAAAAGGAAAACAGAGUUACAGAAACAAUAACAAAAUGACAUAUGUAGGAAUGACAGCAGGUGGUAGAGCCAUGUGACAUUAGAUUUGCCAAGUACAAUUUGUAUUCUCUCAGGUUCUGUAUUUUCUGUCAAAUAUUACCUUAAAUUCUCAGAAUCCAGGAGAAAAAAAAUACUUUUGUCUUCAUUUUUGCACGGUAUGUGGUAAUAUUUUCAACUAAUAGUUUUAAGUAUUGUUCUUUUAAUAUAUUAUAUCCUCCUACUUACAGUCUGCUACUAAUAAGCCUAAUAAUAAGAAACAAAAACAUACCAGAUAGCUAUUCAAAGGGCUUUUAAGCACAGCUGCUUGGGCAGUCAUGCUUGCGCUGCAGUGACUUCUUGCAACAAGUCAAAGGGACAGUAACGACUUCUAAGUAUAAUAAAAGCAAGGUGCACUAGUAUAUGUAUCAAGGUAAUACUUCAUUAAUGAGUGCACAGUGAAGAAUAUAAAAGCACGUAGCUGUA